CUCUCGACUGGGCUACUAUUGAGUCACCUCCACCGGUUUACUCCGCCUUCGCCUUGAAUCAUGGACGCAUCCCCCAAGCUACCACCUCCGGACACCAGCCUCAAGUUGUUACUACCACGAACCGGCUUCGAGUGGCCACAGCCUGCCAUUGUUUGUGGGCUGAGCCGCCCCUACGGACACCGGUAUCAAGCCGUGUCCACCGGUUUACCUUGAGCCGCUGGCGCACCACCGGCAAGACAUCCCGUAACUUACUCCAAGUCGGCCUCGCCUCGACUCAUCUCGAGUUGCCCGCGGCCUCAAUCCGAGUGGCCGCCGCGGUCUCAAGUCGACUCCGGCUCGUUUCAGCUCUGGGCCACUUCCGUCUCUGCCGUGGCCGAGUCACCGCGGCGGUCUCCGUCUGUGCGUUGCAGCCGCCUGAUAAACCGCCCGCAGACCCGCUUCACUCUCGAUCCCCUCGGCUUUGACCCGCCAUUGUUGAUCCGCCGCUGUGGAUGUACCAUAAUCCGCCAGCCGCUUUAGUAGGCAUCCACCUCUGGCUACCUCCGCCGUGGCCCCAAUCUGAGCCGCCUCGCCGGUUUACCUCAUUGUAAGCUGCAGCGGGUCCCAUUUUAUGAUGAUUGCAGCUUCGCCGGGCAGCAACUUCGUCACUGUGGACGCAGGCGCGGCCUCAGUCAGCCGAUUGCCUUUGCAUCGCCGCGCCCGCCUUUCACCGUGAGCCGCCGAGGCCUUAAAACCGCCAGUGCCCCCGUUGAGUCGUCGCUGUUCUCCGCCCCUGCUCUCAAGUCGCGUUGGAUCCCUGUAUGCAAGAAGGAAAGGAUAAGGUGAGGUGCGGUUGGGAGAGAAGUUGAUCCGGUGGGCUUAAAAAAAAGAGGGCCGAUUGGACGAAAAGUCAAAGUGAUCAGAUCAUCUGUGGUUCACAAACACCAGUGCUUGUCCGUGCCGUAUUGCUGGACGGAUACGUAAGCAAGUCACCACCCCCGCUACAUCAACAUACGCGACUGACUCAUCGUCCGCACCUACAGCCGACUCGCCCGCCUUUACCAGGGUGAUCAUCAACUCUGCGGUGGAUAAUUUUGGGCCUGACAUAUCAGGUGAAAUCCAUCCAGUAUAUUUUUAUAUAUUGCUUUCUUUAAAAGAGCAAUUACUCCAUCUUGCAAAGUUAUUUAAUGCAGGACCUUAAAACCGCCAUAUUGGUGCCAAUUUAAAGGCUGUUAGAAAAUUUCCGGCUUAAAAAGGACUCCGGUUCAUGAUCUGGCUCAAGGGAAAGCUAUCUCCCGAAAACCUUUGAAGCUCUCUGAGGGAGUCCUGGAUUAGGGGGUGUCCGGAUGGCCGAACAAUACCUUCAGCCGGACUUCUGGACUACAAAGAUACAAGAUUGAAGACUCCGUCCCGUGUCCGGAAGGGACUUUCCUUGGCGUGGAAGGCAAGCUUGGCAUUGCGUAUAUUUAGAUCUCCUACCAUUGUAACCGACUCUAUGUAACCCUAACCCUAUCCGGUGUCUAUAUAAACCGGAGAGUUUUAGUCCGUAGGACAACAUACACAUCAACAAUCAUACCGUAGGCUAGCUUCUAGGGUUUAGCCUCCUUGAUCUCGUGGUAGAUCUACUCUUGUAAUACCCAUAUCAUCAAUAUUAAUCAAGCAGGACAUAGGGUUUUACCUCCAUCGAGAGGGCCCAAACCUGGGUAAAACUUCGUGCCCCUUGCCUCCUAUUACCAUCUAGCCUAGACGCACAGUUCGGGACCCCCUACCCAAGAUCCGCCGGUUUUGACACCGACAUUGGUGCUUUCAUUGAGAGUUCCUCUGUGUCGUCGCCGUCAGGCUCGAUGGCUCCUACGAUCAUCGAUAGCGAUGCAGUCCAGGGUGAGACCUUCCUUCCCGGACAGAUCUUCAUCUUCGGCGGCUUCGCACUGCGGGCCAAUUCACUUGGCCACCUGGAGUAGAUCGAAAGCUACGCCCCUGGCCGUCAGGUCAGAUUUGGAAGUUUAAACUACACGGCUGACAUCCAUGAGGACUCGAUCCUCGACGGAUUCGAGCCACUGCCGAGGGCGCCGCACUGUCCCGACGAGCAUAAUCUAGCUCUGCCGCCGAACAGUGCCCUGGAGGCCGCACCCGCAUCGGCUCUGAUCCUUAAUUCGGAGCCAACUGCGCCGAUCGAGGAUGGGCGGUUGGACGCCGCCUCAGGGGCUGCGAUCCCAACGGCGAUUGAGCCAAACACCAGCCCCGCACUCCGUGAGACUCGUGACUCCAAGGAGCCGGACUCCGAACCCUCCGCGCCCCGGCCAAUCGAAUCCGAUUGGGUGCCGAUCAUGGAGUUGACUGCCGCGCACAUCUUUCAGCAUUCUCCUUUUGGCGAUAUUUUGAAGUCACUGAAGUCUCUCUCUUUAUCAGGAGAGCCCUGGCCGGACUACGGCCAGCAAGGUUGGGAUUCAGACGAUGAAGAAAUUCAAAGCCCACCCACCACCCACUUUGUAGCCACUUUCGACGACUUAACCGACAUACUCGACUUCGACUCCGAAAACAUCGACGGUAUGGACGCCGAUGAAGGAGAUGAUGAAAAACCAGUGCCUACUAGGCCCUGGAAAGCCACCUUGUCGUAUGACAUAUACAUGGUGGACACCCCAAAAGAGGGAGAUGGCGAUGGAGCAGCGGAGGAUGACCCCUCCAAGAAACAGCCUCCGCGCCGACGUCAGCGGCGCCGCUCAAAAUCCCGCCAAAACAAACACGGUGAUUCCAGCACGGGAGAUAAUAAUACUCCGGAAAGUGCCGAAGAAAACCCCCUCCAGCAAGAUUUAGCACAGGAGGAUGGAGAAACCAGCCCUCAUGAGAGAGCAGCAGACAGAGAGGUCGAGGACGAUAAUUAUAUGCAUCCCUCCGAAGACGAGGCAAGCCUCGACGACGACGAAUUCGUCGUGCCAGAGGAUCCCAUCGAGCAAGAGCGUUUUCAACGCAGGCAUAUGGCCACGGCAAGAAGCCUCAAGAAAAAAUAGCAACAACUUAGAGCUGAUCAAGAUUUGCUAGUCGAUAGAUGGACUGAAGUCCUUGUGGCUGAAGAGCAUAAACUCGAACGCCCCUCCAAGAGCUACCCAGUACAGAGGCGCCACACACCCACUCUGCUUCACAGAUGAAAUAAUGGAUCAUCAAAUCCCCGAGGGUUUCAAACCCGUAAACAUCGAAUCAUAUGAUGGCACAACAGAUCCUGCGGUAUGGAUUGAGGAUUAUCUCCUUCAUAUCCACAUGGCCCGCGGCGAUGAUUUCCACGCCAUCAAAUACCUCCUAGUGAAGCUUAAAGGACCAGCUCGGCAUUGGCUCAACAGCUUUCCAAAAGGAUCAAUCAGUUGUUGGGAGGACCUGGAAGCCGCAUUCCUCGACAAUUUCCAGGGCACUUAUGUGCGACCCCCAGACGCCGAUGACCUAAGUCACGUAAUUCAGCAGCCAGAUGAAUCAGCCAGGCAAUUCUGGACACGAUUCCUAACAAAGAAAAAUCAAAUAGUCGACUGUCUGGACGCUGAGGCCCUAGCAGCCUUCAAGCACAAUAUCCGUGACGAGUGGCUGGCCCGGCACCUUGGACAGGAAAAGCCGAAAUCGAUGGCAGCACUCAUGACACUCAUGACCCGCUUUUGCGCGGGAGAAGACAGCUGGCUUGCUCAUAGCAACAACAUAACCAAGAACCCUGGUAAUUUGGACACCAGGGACAGUAGUGGCAGGUCGCGUCGCAACAAACAGAAGCGCCGCAUUAACGGCGACAAUGCAGAUGAUACGACAGUUAAUGCCGGAUUCAGAGGCUCUAAAUCCGGUCAGUGGAAAAAGCCAUUCAAAAGGAAUCCUAGGGGCCCAUCCUGUUUGGACCGAAUACUCGACCGCGUAUGCCAGAUACAGGGCACCCCUGAAAAGCCGGCCAAUCACACCAACAGGGAUUGUUGGGUGUUCCAGCAGGCAGGAAAGAUAACGCCGAAAACGAAGACAAGGGGCUACAUAUCGAUGACGACGAGGAGACCCGGCCGCCGAACAACAAGGGACAGAAGGGUUUUCCCCCACAAGUGCGGACAGUGAACAUCAUAUAUGCAACCCACAUCCCCAAGAGGGAGCGGAAGCGCGCGUUAAGGGACGUAUAUGCGAUAGAGCCAGUCGCCCCAAAGUUCAACCCAUGGUCCUCCUGCCCGAUCACCUUUGAUAGAAGGGACCACCCCACUAGCACCUGUCACGGCAUCUUCGCCGCAUUGGUUCUAGACCCAAUUAUUGACGGAUUUCAUCUCACUAGAGUCCUUAUGGACGGCGGCAACAGCCUGAACCUGCUUUACCAGGAUACAGUGCGGAAAAUGGGCAUAGAUCCCUUGAGGAUUAAGCCCACCAAAACAAUCUUUAAAGGCGUAAUACCAGGUGUAGAGGCCAACUGUACAGGCUCAGUCACACUUGAAGUGGUCUUUGGAUCUCCGGAUAAUUUCCGAAGCGAGGAGUUAAUCUUCGACAUAGUCCCGUUUCGAAGUGGUUAUCACGCACUGCUUGGGCGAACCGCAUUCGCUAAGUUCAAUGCGGUACCGCAUUACGCAUACCUUACGGUCAAUGGAAACACCGAACGCUCCCUCCGAACGGAGGAGCACAUGGCGGCCCUUGCAUCGGAAGUACAAAGCAGCCUCUCCAGGCAUUUCUUCAGUCCGGCCACUAAAAGACCGGACAUCGUCAAGCGCGCCCGGAGUAACCUACAACAAGACCGCCUGGCACGAUCCGAGCAGGCGUAGCAAUGCGGUCCCAACCCCAACCCUCGCAAAAAGGCGACGUCAGUACUUCGCGUACAUAACUACGCUCUAGAGAUACCAUGGGCACAGGGGGAGGGGCACCAUCACGGCACGCCCAAAAUACGAUUUUUUAAUUUUCUCUUACUUUUAGGACUCCACUCUUCGGAAGGCCUGGUCGGCAGUUCAAUUGCCGCACAAACGAUGCAAGAACCAGGGAAGCAGACAAGUCGCGCCGCAUUAUGGAACUCCCAGGUGGUCUCUAUCACGAGUAGUAUACCUGUUUCGCCUAUUAUUCCGCAGCUUGCCCCUGGAGCGGAGAUGUUACAUAGUCCAACCUUUUGUUUAUCGCAUUAUUUGUAUCGUUCUACUUUGAUCACAACUCUUUUUAAUAAACAAUCCAUAGCUUUUUUCUAUUUUUGCAUUACUCUUUUUUUAUAUUUAUAUAUGUUCCUUAACGACAUGUUGCACCCGUACACUUUGGUACGGCCAAAAUACGGCAGGGGCUUCAGUACCCAUCAACAUGGUGUGAGAAGUCCGAACACUUUAACAAGUAUGGCACCCCGAACUUAUAGCAUUAUAUGCAUCGGCUCCGAAUCAUGUCUGGGGUCAAUAGUUGGGUUUUCCCGGCUCCUAUGUUUUGGUGCCUUACGUUCCGCUAUAUCGGCUAAGGUAGCACUAGGAGAACCACUGCGAUUGUGCCCCGGUUGAGCUGGGUCGAGCACCUCAGUGGAGAAAGCUAAAACUGACCGUCAUGAUGAGGCAAGAGCUGGUCACUGUUUGAGAGGUCUUUUCGAGUCCUUAAAGACUUAUGCCGCUUAGGGCGAGGAGCCGGCUCUGUCCGGCCAAGGCGUGGAUAGCGCCUCGAACUUGGUCUUCCGAAUACCAGGUGCUUCGCCGAAAUUUAAAAUUAUAGAAUUCUAUGGCUAAGUGAGAGUUUUCACGCAUUAUAGUCCGGUUGCCUUGUUCGUUGGGCCGAGAGCUUCCCUCGAAGGACCCAAACAUGGGAAAAAGAGCCCCCAGGUUUAUCCCCGAACACCCCAGCACUAGCGGCACGGGGGAAGAAGCCGACGACUCACCAUCUCUUAGAAUUGAUAAACAGCCACACAGAAGGUAAUAUUUUAAAUUCAAACAGCAUUGCUUAAGCGCAUAUGAACAAGUUUUCAGCGCACAGGACAAAAUGAGCGAGUUUUAUUCAAAAAUUACAUCCAUAGAACAUUCAUCCGCCACAAGGCGGGCACCCUUCAGAGCAUCCUUAUAAUAAUUUUCGGGCUUGCGAUGCUCUUUCCCCGGCGGUGGCCCAUCCUUGACAAGCUUCUCAGCAUCCAGCUUGCCCCAAUGCACCUUCGCACGGGCAAGGGCCCUACGGGCGCCUUCAAUGCAGAUGGAGCGCUUGAUGACUUCGAGCCUUGGACAGGCCUCCACCAGCCGCCGCACCAGCCCGGAAUAGCUCCCAGGCUGAGCCUCUCCAGGCCACAGCCGAACUAUGAGGCCCUUCAUGGCCUAUUCGGCCACCUUGUGGAGCUCGACCAGUUGCUUCAACUUGUCGCUCAGGGGCACGGGGUGUCCGUCUCAGCGUACUGAGACCAGAACACCUUCUCCGUCGAGCUGCCCUCCUCGGCUCGAUAGAAUGCGGAGGCAUCAGAUAUACUCCGGGGAAGAUCUGCGAACGCGCCUGGAGAACUCCGGAUUCGGGUAAGUAACAAGUAACUCACGCUUAUGUGUUUACUUUGCAUAAAGAAUGCCUUACCCGCCGCUAUCUUCUUCACCUCAUCCAAGCCCUGGAGGGUCUUCUGGGAUUCGGCCUUGGCAGACUUGGCACUUUCAGUAGCCGCCGCAAGCUCGGAUGCUCGCGUCCUUGAGUCACGCUCCAAACUCUCAUGUUUUUCCAUGAGAGCCUGGAGCUCUUGCCGCACCUUGCCAACCUCGGCCUCAUGAUUUUCUCGCUCAGUACGCUCCGCGUCCGACCUCUUCUCGGCCUCGAGCAGCGCUUGCUUGAGGGUCGCCAACUCAGACGUGGCCCCUAUAGUAGCCACGAUACUCCUGUCAUUUUUCGCAAUUGCACCUUUUUAUACACAUCUAUACAAGGUAUUUUUUACCUUCACUGUCCUCGAGCUGCUUCUUGGCACGUCUGAGCUCUUGCUCGGACUGCUCAAGGUCCUGCUUUAGCACGUCCACUUCCGCAGUCAGUGCGGCGGACGCCAGCAGGGAAGCCUGCACACACAUAUGGACUCCUUUUUGUUAGACUCCUGCGAUUUUUAUUUGAUCCUCUAUUCGGCUUUUCUUCCCGAACGCCAAACAGAGCAUCAGGGGCUACUAUCUAUGCGGUAAUGUUAUUUACACAUUCUUUACUUACCUCAAAGCAUGUUAAAAGGCUUGUACAAGCUUCAGUCAGUCUGCUCUUGGCGGACUGAACCUUCUGGACCACCGCACUCAUAAUAGUGCGGUGCCCCUCGUUGAUGGAGGCGCCUUGGAGCGCCUCCAACAGAUUGUCUGGUGCCUCCGGUUGGACGGAGGUCGCCGGCGUGGUGGGCUUGCUCCUCUUGGAAGGAGGUCCCCCGCCAGACUCUGGACCCUUUGAAGGUUCCGGAGCGGUGUCCGGCCUAGGGCCGGACUUGGAGCCCUGGGGGGUUUCGUCCCCUUUACUCCUGGAGUCCGGGAGGUCGCCUUGCGGCACCUCCAGGACCACCUCCUCCUGGAUUGGAACUUGCUAGGACAACACUUCGGUGUCGUCCGUAGGGCGGGGGGAGGAAGCCGUCGGAAGCGAGUUCAUGUCCGACGAGUCCAGUGAGCCGCUCGACGACGCGUCGAGCCGGUCUUUGGGUGGGCUCCAUAAACAUAUCCGACAUAAGGGAAAGCUGUGCAAUAAUUAGAUACUAUGAAAUCACUCCGGUAUCCGGAUACUUACGAUUUCGCCAGGGGCUUUGCCCUGGGCGGCCACUCCUCUACACCGUCGUCGGUGUUGGUGGAGUAGUCCGGAGGAGUGGUUCUCUCCUUCUUGGACCCUUCGGCCUCCCCAGUUGGGGCGGCCUUCCUUUUCUUCCCUUCCCCCGCUAGAGGGGCAGGGGUCUCUUCUUCCUCCUCCUCGUCUUCACGGGAGGAAUGCGCCUCGGAACCGUCGGACGAUGGAUCCGAUGCCUCCUGGCGCCGGGCACUCUUUCGAGUCCCCGCAGCCUUUUUCGCGGCCUUCUUCUCCGGCACCACAUAGGGUGCCGGAACCAACAGCUUCGCCAAGUGGGCAUCGGCUGGGUCUUCGGGCAAAGGCGCCGGACAGUCGAUCCGUCCGGACUUCGCCUGCCAAUCCUGUCAAAGGUAAGGGAGCUUAGAUCUCGCACAGAGUUAAACUAUGAAAAACUAGUGCCCUGUGAAAAAUACAAAAAAGCUUAGCGCGCUAGCGUGACGCUGCGCGCUGAAUCCGCGAUCCUCGGUAGCGGAUGCGGGAGCCUCGGCGCCUUUGAAAAGCACCUUCCAGGCAUCUUUGUACGUCGUGUCAAAGAGCCUGCUCAGAGUUUGGUGUCGUGCCGAAUCGAACUCCCACAGGUUGAAAGCCCGUUGUUGACACGGGAGGAUCAAGCGGAUGAGCAUAACCUGGACUACGUUGACAAGCCUGAGCUGCUUGUUCACCAGGGAUUGGAUGCAUGUUUCCAGUCCGGUCACCUCCUUUUGGCUGCCCCACGACAGGCCCGUCUCUUUGCAGGACGUGAGCCGCGUUGGGGGUCCGGACCGGAACUCGGGGGCUGCGACCCACUUAGGGUCGCACGGCUCGGUGAUUGAAAACCACCCCGAUUGCCACCCCUUCAGGCUCUCUACAAAGGAGCCCUCUAGCCAGAGGACGUUGGACAUCUUGCCAACCAUGGCACUGCCGCACUCCGCCUGGCUGCCACGCACCACCUUCGGCUUGACGUUGAAAGUCUUGUGCCAUAGGCCGAAAUGGGGGCGGAUGCGGAGGAAAGCCUCGCACACGACGAUAAACGCCGAGAUGUUGAGGACAAAAUUCGGGGCCAGAUCGUGGAAAUUCAGGCCGUAGUAGAACAUGAGCCCCCGGACAAAUGGGUGGAGAGGGAAGCCCAGUCUACGAAGGAAAUGGGGGAGGAAUACCACCCUCACAUGGGGCCUGGGAGUGGGGAUGAGAUGCCCCGUUUCAGGAAGCCGGUGCGCGAUGUUGCUAGCCAGAUAUCCGGCCUUCCUCAGGUUUUUGAUGUGUCCCUCCAUGACGGAGGAGAUCAUCCACUUGCCUCCCGCUCCGGACAUGGCUGGAGAAGGUCGAGGCGAGGGGUGCGGACUUGGGCGCUGGAGCUCGAGUGCACAAGAAUGGAUAGGCGAAGGAGGAAGAAGGCGUAGGUGAAAAGGUAGAUCCUUAUCCCCUAAUAUGGGUGGACGCAACUACAUGUCCCCGCCAGCCUCGUAAAACUCGCUUAUCUCCCAAGCGCCGUAAUCAAAGGCGCGGUUGGGUUACCCACGCCCGUAUUGAUGAGAAUCCCGGAAUAAGGGGACACGAUCUUUGCUUUAACAAGACGUGCCAAGGAAACCGCCUCGCAUAACGCGCUGAGACGGGACUAUAAAAUGGUUCGAAUCAAAGCUUGGCCGUGCUAUGAUGUCACACUACAGAAUACGUCAGCAAAUUAAAUUUGUGUAAAUAUUAUUAUCUCUAUGGCAAUAUGUGGAAACUUAUUUUGCAGAGCCGGACACUAUCUUUGUGUUUGAAAUCUUCUAAGAAGCACUUGGAGGAGGAACCCGCCUGGCAAUGCCGAAGACAAUUUGCGCGCCGGACUCAUCGUCAUUGAAGCCUGGUUCAGGGGCUACUGAGGGAGUCCUAGAUUAGGGGGUGUCCGGAUGGCCGAACUGUACCUUCAGCCGGACUCCUGGACUAUGAAUAUACAAGAUUGAAGACUCCGUCCCGUGUCCGGAAGGGAGUUUCCUUGGCGUGGAAGGCAAGCUUGGCGAUGCGGAUAUUUAGAUCUCCUACCAUUGUAACCGACUCUAUGUAACCCUAACCCUAUCCGGUGUCUAUAUAAACCGGAGGGUUUUAGUCCAUAGGACAACAUACACAUCAACAAUCAUACCAUAGGCUAGCUUCUAGGGUUUAGCCUCCUCGAUCUCGUGGUAGAUCUACUCUUGUACUACCCAUAUCAUCAAUAUUAAUCAAGCAGGACGUAGGGUUUUACCUCCAUCGAGAGGGCCC
rnacentral:lncRNA from 1 species